AGUGAACGCUGGCGGUAGGCCUAACACAUGCAAGUCGAACGGCAGCACAGUAAGAGCUUGCUCUUACGGGUGGCGAGUGGCGGACGGGUGAGGAAUACAUCGGAAUCUACUUUUUCGUGGGGGAUAACGUAGGGAAACUUACGCUAAUACCGCAUACGACCUACGGGUGAAAGCAGGGGAUCUUCGGACCUUGCGCGAUUGAAUGAGCCGAUGUCGGAGUAGCUAGUUGGCGGGGUAAAGGCCCACCAAGGCGACGAUCCGUAGCUGGUCUGAGAGGAUGAUCACCCCCACUGGAACUCACACACGGUCCAGCCUCCUGCGGGAGGCAGCAGUGCCGACUCUUGGACAAUGGGCGCAAGCCUGAUCCAGCCAUCCCGCGUGGUUGAAGAAGGCCUUCGGGUUGUAAAGCCCUUUUGUUCGGAAAGAACAGCAGCAGUUUAAUACCCCGCUGUUCUGACGGUACCCAAAGAAUAAGCACCGGCUAACUUCGUG
rnacentral:rRNA from 1 species